AGGACGAACGCUGGCGGCGUGCUUAACACAUGCAAGUCGAACGGAAAGGCCCUGCUUUUGUGGGGUGCUCGAGUGGCGAACGGGUGAGUAACACGUGAGUAACCUGCCCUUGACUUUGGGAUAACUUCAGGAAACUGGGGCUAAUACCGGAUAGGAGCUCCUGCUGCAUGGUGGGGGUUGGAAAGUUUCGGCGGUUGGGGAUGGACUCGCGGCUUAUCAGCUUGUUGGUGGGGUAGUGGCUUACCAAGGCUUUGACGGGUAGCCGGCCUGAGAGGGUGACGGCCACAUUGGGACUGAGAUACGGCCCAGACUCCGUACGGGAGCAGCGAGUGGGAAUAGUUGCACGAAGUGGGCGAAGCCUGAUGCAGCAACGCCGCGUGGCGGGAUGGACGGUCCGUUCGGGUUACGUAAACCGUCGUUUACCGGCCUUGGUCGACGAA
rnacentral:rRNA from 1 species